rnacentral:piRNA from 1 species
GCUGUGGACUAAAGGGGUAUCUUUGAUU